AUUGAACGCUGGCGGCAUGCCUUACACAUGCAAGUCGAACGGCAGCACGGGAGCAAUCCUGGUGGCGAGUGGCGAACGGGUGAGUAAAGUAUCGGAACGUGCCCAGUCGUGGGGGAUAACGUAGCGAAAGUUACGCUGAUACCGCAUACGACCUAUGGAUGAAAGCGGGGGAUCGCAAGACCUCGCGCGACUGGAGCGGCAGAUAUCAGAUUAGGUAGUUGGUGGGGUAAAGGCUCACCAAGCCGACGAUCUGUAGCUGGUCUGAGAGGACGACCAGCCACACUGGGACUGAGACACGGCCCAGACUCCUACGGGAGGCAGCAGUGGGGAAUUUUGGACAAUGGGCGCAAGCCUGAUCCAGCCAUGCCGCGUGCAGGAUGAAGGCCUUCGGGUUGUAAACUGCUUUUGUACGGAACGAAAAGGUUUGACUUAAUACGUUGGACUCAUGACGGUACCGUAAGAAUAAGCACCGGCUAACUACGUGCCAUCAGCCGCCGUAA
rnacentral:rRNA from 1 species